ensembl:lncRNA
UCUCUCUCUCUCUUUCCUUUCCCUCUUCUUUCUCUCCUCUCGCCCCACUGACUCAUCUCUCUCUUUUUUUUUCUUAUUUUCACUUCCCAACUCGUCCCACUCGUCCCUUCACCUCGUUCUUCCCAUUAGCCCCCUCUGCUUUGUUUUCCUGUUUGCCCCUUACUUCCUAUUCACCUCUGUACCCCAUUUGCCCCAUCUUCCCAGUCGCCCUGUCCUUCUAUUCACCCCUCUGCGCCCCUUCUUUCCAUCCGGCCUUACUUCCUACUUGCUCUUUUCCUCUCUUCUCAUUCCUUCGUCACUUUCCAUUCCUCUGCUCAUUCUUCCCAAACACCUGUUCAUCACAUUCCCUGCCCUCUUCCUGUUUGGCCCCUCUUCCUAUUUCCUUAAUCCCUUCCUGAUUAUCCCGCGCUUCCCAUUCUUCCUCUUCGUAUUCACCUCUUCGUGCCUCAUCCUAUUUUCCUCCGUCUCCGGUUCGACCCCCUCUACCCAUUCACAUUCCCUCUUUCCUGCCUCAUCCCUCUCUUCCCCGGGAGCAUGGAGGGUUUGGGAGUAAACGUGAAUCAGAGUCUGCAGUUGGACGAGUCAGCGAUUUUUAUUCCUCUGGGACUUCUGGAGGAGAGCAGGAGCCACAGGAACCUCGCAGCAAGGCUGUAGUGCGCUUCGCCCCUGAUGUUAAAUACUGAGAGAGAGAGAGAGAGAGAGAGAGAGAGAGACAGACAGACAGACAGACGGUCAGACAGACAGACAGAAAGAGACAUGUAAUGUUCACUACUUAGCAAUGUUUAGGUUUUAUGGCAAUACAUCUAGAAUAUUUAUUUUUAAAAGCUGUUUGAUUUCUGUUGAUCAGCAUCAACAAUCUGGAUGGAAACACACACACACACACACACACACACACUCACACACACUCACCUUUACACUCAGCUGAUUCUGCUCUCUGUAACAGAAAUAAGGCGAGAAAUGAAGCACAUAUUGGAAUAUUACAGUACUGUAUGUAUAUAUAAUGUAUGUAGUAUAUAAUAAUUAUGAAACGCACUCCAGAGCUUCCUUAUAAUAAAGUCAUGAUGAUUAUUUUCUGCAUAGACUGUUUGCAAAGUUUGAAAUGGUGCUAAGAGUUUGCUUUCGGUUCACACUGUCCACGCUUGAGAAUAAUGCUGUCAAUAUCACAGAGAGAGAGAGAGAGAGAGAGAGAGAGAGAGAGAGAGAGAGAGAGAGAGAGAGCAUCAACACCAUGAAGUGCUUCCUUAACGUACAUGUACAUCAUCACUGUAUAAAAAGUCAUCGUGUGAAUAAAAACGCA